CCACUGUUGAGGAGUCCCACAAUGGGACGAAACGUUCGUCCAGUGC
rfam:Schistosoma mattheei strain Denwood, Zambia genome assembly, scaffold: SMTD_scaffold0019793